AGUACAUCAGGGAGGGCAUUUUCCUUGCAUAUCACAGACCAGGGUUCACUGUGUGGCAUUGUAGAUUCCUCAAAGCCCUUCAGUAGGGAGUCUGACUACAGAGCCAGGAGUAACUUUGAGUACCACAGAGUGUGGCCCCAAAAAGAAAUAAAAUUGAAAGUUGGAGAGAACCUUCUACAUGUAGGGAAUGUGAUAAAGACUGUGUUUACUUCUGAAAAUUUUCUGCAUAAUAAAAGAAUAUUUGGAGAGAAACUUUAUACAUAAA